AACCUGUCUCGCGGUGAUUUGAGGGAGCAGCUUGCGCCGCGUCAAAAAACGCUAAAGCGCCACGGAAGUGUAUUC
rnacentral:ncRNA from 2 species